rnacentral:rRNA from 1 species
CCUACGGGAGGCAGCAGUGAGGAAUAUUGGUCAAUGGACGAGAGUCUGAACCAGCCAAGUAGCGUGAAGGAUGACUGCCCUAUGGGUUGUAAACUUCUUUUAUAAAGGAAUAAAACGAGGCACGUGUGCCUUUCUGCAUGUACUUUAUGAAUAAGGAUCGGCUAACUCCGUGCCAGCAGCCGCGGUAAUACGGAGGAUCCGAGCGUUAUCCGGAUUUUUUGGGUUUAAAGGGUGCGUAGAUGGGUUGUUAAGUCCUGUGUGAAAUUUUGCGGCUCAACGGUAGAAUUGCAAUUGAUACUGGCAGUCUUGAGUGCAGUUGAGGUAGGCGGAAUGCGUGGUGUAGCGGUGAAAUGCUUAGAGAUCACGAAGAACCCCGAUUGCGAAGGCAGCUUACUAAACUAUGACUGACAUUGAUGCUCGAAAGUGUGGGUAUCAAACAGGAUUAGAUACCCGGGUAGUC